ACGGUCCUAAGGUAGCGAAAUUCCUUGUCAGGUAAGUUCUGACCCGCACGAAUGGUGUAAUGAUUUGGGCACUGUCUCAACAGCCCGCCCGGCGAAAUUGUAGUACCGGUGAAGAUGCCGGUUUCCCGCGACAAGACGGAAAGACCCCAUGGAGCUUUACUGCAGCCUAAUAUUGGGUUUCGAUAUUACAUGUACAGGAUAUGUGGGAGACAUGGAAGCACGGGCGUCAGCCUGUGUGGAGUCAGCCUUGGGAUACCACACUUGUGAUAUUGGAAUUCUAACCUGCGGCCCUGAAUCGGGUCGGGGGACAUUGUUAGGCGGGCAGUUUGACUGGGGCGGUCGCCUCCGAAAAAGUAACGGAGGCGUUCAAAGGUUGGCUCAGCUUGGACGGAAACCAAGCCAAAGAGUGCAAACGCAUAAGCCAGCCUAACUGCGAGACUGACGGGUCGAGCAGUAACGAAAGUUGGAGUUAGUGAUCCGGCGGUAUGUGAGUGGAAAUGCCGUCGCUCAACGGAUAAAAGUUACCCUGGGGAUAACAGGCUGAUCUCCCCCAAGAGUCCACAUCGACGGGGAGGUUUGGCACCUCGAUGUCGGCUCAUCGCAUCCUGGGGCUGUAGUCGGUCCCAAGGGUUGGGCUGUUCGCCCAUUAAAGCGGUACGCGAGCUGGGUUCAGAACGUCGUGAGACAGUUCGGUCCCUAUCUGUCGUGGGCGCAGGAUAUUUGACAGGAUCUGUCCCUAGUACGAGAGGACCGGGAUGGACGCACCUCUGGUGCACCAGUUGUCACGCCAGUGGCACAGCUGGGCAGCUAUGUGCGGAUCGGAUAAACGCUGAAAGCAUCUAAGCGUGAAGCCGGCCUGGAGAUAAGAUAUCCCACUGAGAUAAUCAGGUAAGACCCCUUGAAGACUACAAGGUUGAUAGGCUCAAAGUGUAAGCACGGUGACGUGUUCAGCUAGCGAGUACUAAUCGGUCGAGGGCUUGACCAC
rnacentral:rRNA from 1 species